rnacentral:rRNA from 1 species
UACGUAGGGUGCAAGCGUUGCUCGGAAUCACUGGGCGUAAAGGGUGCGUAGGCGGCCGUGCAAGUCUGGCGUGAAAGCCCCGGGCUCAGCCCGGGAAGUGCGCUCGAAACUGCGCGGCUCGAGUGCCGGAGGGGAGAGUGGAAUUCCUGGUGUAGCGGUGAAAUGCGUAGAUAUCAGGAGGAAUACCGGUGGCGAAAGCGACUCUCUGGACGGCAACUGACGCUGAGGCACGAAAGCGUGGGGAGCAAACAGG